GCCUCUGUAGCUCAGUUGGUUAGAGCACUGUUCCGGAAUCACAGGUGCGCAGGUUCAAUUCCUGGCAGGGACC